AUAUUUACUUGUAAGGAAGAUCCCAUGAUCAAGAAGGUGGUUCCUCAGGGUGAGGCUCUUUCAUUGCCCUUUGGUUGGGUUGACCCCUGUGAUUUCCCAAGUGUUAGAAACUCAGCUGCAUAAUUUAUGAUAGUGGGGGACAGUGUUCAUGUUGUCCCCUC